CUAAGCCGAGGCCGAAAGGCGUAGGUGAUGGACAACAGGUUGAUAUUCCUGUACCACCAAUAACCGUUUGAGAAAUGGGAUGACACAGUAGGAUAAGCUAACCGCACUGUUGGUUAUGUGCGGGCAAGUAUUGAGGCAGUUCCGAUAGGCAAAUCCGUCGGAAUAAUGCUGGGGUACGAUGCGGAGCGAAAUUUAGUAGCGAAGUAGCUGAUUUCACACUGUCGAGAAAAGUCUCUAUCGAGGUUAAAGGUGCCUGUACCGCAAACCGACACAGGUGGGUGAGGAGAGUAUCCUAAGGCCAGCGAGAGAACUGUUGUUAAGGAACUCGGCAAAAUGACCCCGUAACUUAGGGAGAAGGGGUGCCUUCGAAAGAAGGCCGCAGAGAAUAGGCCCAAGCGACUGUUUACCAAAAACAUAGGUUUCUGCUAAGUCGCAAGACGAUGUAUAGGAGCUGACGCCUGCCCGGUGCUGGAAGGUUAAGGGGAUCUGUUAGAGCAAUCGAAGCAGUGAACUUAAGCCCCAGUAAACGGCGGCCGUAACUAUAACGGUCCUAAGGUAGCGAAAUUCCUUGUCGGGUAAGUUCCGACCCGCACGAAAGGCGUAACGAUUUGGGCACUGUCUCAACAACAGACUCGGUGAAAUUGUAAUACCGGUGAAGAUGCCGGUUACCUGCGACAGGACGGAAAGACCCCAUGGAGCUUUACUGUAGCUUGACAUUGAGUCUCGGUGCUACAUGUACAGGAUAGGUGGGAGACUAUGAAGCAUGGACGUCAGUCUGUGUGGAGUCAUCCUUGGGAUACCACCCUUGUAGUACUGGGAUUCUAACCAGAGGCCAUGAAUCUGGUCUUGGGACACUGUCAGGUGGACAGUUUGACUGGGGCGGUCGCCUCCCAAAAAGUAACGGAGGCGCUCAAAGGUUCUCUCAGUACGGUCGGAAAUCGUACGAAGAGUGUAAAGGCAAAAGAGAGCUUGAUUGCAAGACAUACAGGUCGAGCAAGGACGAAAGUCGGACUUAGUGAUCCGGUGGUUCCGCAUGGAAGGGCCAUCGCUCAACGGAUAAAAGCUACCCUGGGGAUAACAGGCUUAUCUCCCCCAAGAGUCCACAUCGACGGGGAGGUUUGGCACCUCGAUGUCGGCUCAUCACAUCCUGGGGCUGUAGUAGGUCCCAAGGGUUGGGCUGUUCGCCCAUUAAAGUGGUACGCGAGCUGGGUUCAGAACGUCGUGAGACAGUUCGGUCCCUAUCCGUCGCAGGCGUAGGAAAUUUGAGAAGACCUGUCCUUAGUACGAGAGGACCGGGAUGGACGUACCUCUGGUGUACCAGUUGUUCUGCCAAGGGCAUGGCUGGGUAGCUAUGUACGGAAUGGAUAAGCGCUGAAAGCAUCUAAGCGCGAAGCCAACUUCAAGAUAAGAUUUCCCACCGUAAGGGUAAGACCCCAGGAAGACUACCUGGUUGAUAGGUCGAAGGUGUAAGUGCAGUAAUGUAUUUAGCUUAUCGAUACUAAUAGGUCGAGGACUUGACCAA
rnacentral:rRNA from 1 species